AGAGCGAACGCUGGCGGCAGGCUUAACACAUGCAAGUCGAGCGCCCCGCAAGGGGAGCGGCAGACGGGAGAGUAACACGUGGGAACGUACCUUUCGGUUCGGAACAACCCAGGGAAACUUGGGCUAAUACCGGAUACGCCCGUAAGGGGAAAGAUUUAUCGCCGGAAGAUCGGCCCGCGUCUGAUUAGCUAGUUGGUGAGGUAACGGCUCACCAAGGCGACGAUCAGUAGCUGGUCUGAGAGGAUGAUCAGCCUCACUGGGACUGAGACACGGCCCAGACUCCUACGGGAGGCAGCAGUGGGGAAUAUUGGACAAUGGGCGCAAGCCUGAUCCAGCCAUGCCGCGUGGGUGAUGAAGGCCCUAGGGUUGUAAAGCCCUUUCGGCGGGAAGAUAAUGACGGUACCCGCAGAAGAAGCCCCGGCUAACUUCGUGCCACAGCCGC
rnacentral:rRNA from 1 species